GGGUUGUGAGGUUAAGCGACUAAGCGUACACGGUGGAUGCCCUGGCAGUCAGAGGCGAUGAAGGACGUGCUAAUCUGCGAAAAGCGUCGGUAAGGUGAUAUGAACCGUUAUAACCGGCGAUGUCCGAAUGGGGAAACCCAGUGCAAUUCGUUGCACUAUCGUUAACUGAAUACAUAGGUUAACGAGGCGAACCGGGGGAACUGAAACAUCUAAGUACCCCGAGGAAAAGAAAUCAACCGAGAUUCCCCCAGUAGCGGCGAGCGAACGGGGAGCAGCCCAGAGUCUGAAUCAGCUUGUGUGUUAGUGGAACGGUCUGGAAAGUCCGACGGUACAGGGUGAUAGUCCCGUACACCAAAAUGCACAGGCUGUGAACUCGAAGAGUAGGGCGGGACACGUGGUAUCCUGUCUGAAUAUGGGGGGACCAUCCUCCAAGGCUAAAUACUCCUGACUGACCGAUAGUGAACCAGUACCGUGAGGGAAAGGCGAAAAGAACCCCGGCGAGGGGAGUGAAAAAGAACCUGAAACCGUGUACGUACAAGCAGUGGGAGCACCUUCGGGUGUGACUGCGUACCUUUUGUAUAAUGGGUCAGCGACUUAUAUUCUGUAGCAAGGUUAACCGUAUAGGGGAGCCGCAGGGAAACCGAGUCUUAACUGGGCGUUAAGUUGCAGGGUAUAGACCCGAAACCCGGUGAUCUAGCCAUGGGCAGGUUGAAGGUUGGGUAACACUAACUGGAGGACCGAACCGACUAAUGUUGAAAAAUUAGCGGAUGACUUGUGGCUGGGGGUGAAAGGCCAAUCAAACCGGGAGAUAGCUGGUUCUCCCCGAAAGCUAUUUAGGUAGCGCCUCGUGAACUCAUCUUCGGGGGUAGAGCACUGUUUCGGCUAGGGGGUCAUCCCGACUUACCAACCCGAUGCAAACUACGAAUACCGAAGAAUGUUAUCACGGGAGACACACGGCGGGUGCUAACGUCCGUCGUGAAGAGGGAAACAACCCAGACCGCCAGCUAAGGUCCCAAAGUCAUGGUUAAGUGGGAAACGAUGUGGGAAGGCACAGACAGCCAGGAUGUUGGCUUAGAAGCAGCCAUCAUUUAAAGAAAGCGUAAUAGCUCACUGGUCGAGUCGGCCUGCGCGGAAGAUGUAACGGGGCUAAACCAUGCACCGAAGCUGCGGCAGCGACACUAUGUGUUGUUGGGUAGGGGAGCGUUCUGUAAGCCUGCGAAGGUGACCUGUGAGGGUUGCUGGAGGUAUCAGAAGUGCGAAUGCUGACAUAAGUAACGAUAAAGCGGGUGAAAAGCCCGCUCGCCGGAAGACCAAGGGUUCCUGUCCAACGUUAAUCGGGGCAGGGUGAGUCGACCCCUAAGGCGAGGCCGAAAGGCGUAGUCGAUGGGAAACAGGUUAAUAUUCCUGUACUUGGUGUUACUGCGAAGGGGGGACGGAGAAGGCUAUGUUAGCCGGGCGACGGUUGUCCCGGUUUAAGCAUGUAGGCUGGUUAUCCAGGCAAAUCCGGAUAAUCAAGGCUGAGGUGUGAUGACGAGGCACUACGGUGCUGAAGUAACAAAUGCCCUGCUUCCAGGAAAAGCCUCUAAGCAUCAGGUAACAUCAAAUCGUACCCCAAACCGACACAGGUGGUCAGGUAGAGAAUACCAAGGCGCUUGAGAGAACUCGGGUGAAGGAACUAGGCAAAAUGGUGCCGUAACUUCGGGAGAAGGCACGCUGGUGUGUAGGUGAAGCCCCUGCGGGUGGAGCUGAGACCAGUCGAAGAUACCAGCUGGCUGCAACUGUUUAUUAAAAACACAGCACUGUGCAAACACGAAAGUGGACGUAUACGGUGUGACGCCUGCCCGGUGCCGGAAGGUUAAUUGAUGGGGUUAUCCGUAAGGAGAAGCUCUUGAUCGAAGCCCCGGUAAACGGCGGCCGUAACUAUAACGGUCCUAAGGUAGCGAAAUUCCUUGUCGGGUAAGUUCCGACCUGCACGAAUGGCGUAAUGAUGGCCAGGCUGUCUCCACCCGAGACUCAGUGAAAUUGAACUCGCUGUGAAGAUGCAGUGUACCCGCGGCAAGACGGAAAGACCCCGUGAACCUUUACUAUAGCUUGACACUGAACAUUGAGCCUUGAUGUGUAGGAUAGGUGGGAGGCUUUGAAGCGUGGACGCCAGUCUGCGUGGAGCCAACCUUGAAAUACCACCCUUUAAUGUUUGAUGUUCUAACGUUGGCCCCUUAUCGGGGUUGCGGACAGUGUCUGGUGGGUAGUUUGACUGGGGCGGUCUCCUCCCAAAGCGUAACGGAGGAGCACGAAGGUUAGCUAAUCCUGGUCGGACAUCAGGAGGUUAGUGCAAUGGCAUAAGCUAGCUUGACUGCGAGCGUGACGGCGCGAGCAGGUGCGAAAGCAGGUCAUAGUGAUCCGGUGGUUCUGAAUGGAAGGGCCAUCGCUCAACGGAUAAAAGGUACUCCGGGGAUAACAGGCUGAUACCGCCCAAGAGUUCAUAUCGACGGCGGUGUUUGGCACCUCGAUGUCGGCUCAUCACAUCCUGGGGCUGAAGUAGGUCCCAAGGGUAUGGCUGUUCGCCAUUUAAAGUGGUACGCGAGCUGGGUUUAGAACGUCGUGAGACAGUUCGGUCCCUAUCUGCCGUGGGCGCUGGAGAAUUGAGGGGGGCUGCUCCUAGUACGAGAGGACCGGAGUGGACGCAUCACUGGUGUUCGGGUUGUCAUGCCAAUGGCACUGCCCGGUAGCUAAAUGCGGAAGAGAUAAGUGCUGAAAGCAUCUAAGCACGAAACUUGCCCCGAGAUGAGUUCUCCCUGAGACUUUAAGUCUCCUGAAGGAACGUUGAAGACGACGACGUUGAUAGGCCGGGUGUGUAAGCGCAGCGAUGCGUUGAGCUAACCGGUACUAAUGAACCGUGAGGCUUAACCUUACAACGCCGAAG
rnacentral:rRNA from 1 species